UCAUGGCCUUGAUAUUCCCUACAUUGCUCACGUAUCAACAAAGCCACCAGCUGAUUUGAUAAGCCAAUCAAGAGGUACCCAUUGGCUGAUUUGGUUUACAAGUCGAGCUCCAUAUAGAGGUAAAAGUAGACGUGGUGUGGGCAUUUUGGUGGUCGUGAUUUUAGAAGUGAUAACUCUUAUACUCGGAGUGGGGAAAGCACAUAUUAGUACAGUGGUAGUGGUUGAAAUAAUGUUAAUUAUAGUGGUGGGGGGUAUGAUUCUAGUGUAACUAGAGCUUAGGAUUAGCGUUUUACAGUACCCCUCAAAAUUAUUUUGUUUCAAGGUAUAUAUAUUUUUCACUCGAGUUUGAGAAUUUUGAUAUUUUGAAGAAUGUAAAAAAGUUGUAGAUUACAUUUGAAAAUGCGCAUAUCAAUA
rnacentral:lncRNA from 1 species